AAUGAUUUAUUUAAUGGCCGCGGUAUAUUAACUGUGCUAAGGUAGCAUAAUCAUUUGUCUUUUAAUUAAAGGCUAGAAUGAAUGGUUGGACGAGAUAUAAGCUUUCUUUGAUUUAGUUUAUGAAUUUAAUUUUUUAGUUAAAAAGCUAAAAUUUAUUUGAGGGACGAGAAGACCCUAUAGAUCUUUAUAUAUUUAAUUAUUAUGUAUUUUAGUGAAUGAAUUACUUUAAUAGUUUAAUAUAUUUGAUUGGGGUGAUUGUAGAAUUAAAAUAACUUCUAUUUUUAUUUUUCAUUAAUUAAUGUUUUAUUGAUCCAUUAUUGUUGAUUAAAAGAUUAAGUUACCUUAGGGAUAACAGCGUAAUUCUUUUGGAGAGCUCAUAUCGAUAAAAGAGUUUGCGACCUCGAUGUUGGAUUAAAAUAAGUUUUAGGUGUAGGAGCUUAAAAACUAGGUCUGUUCGACCUUUGAUUUUUUACAUGAUCUGA
rnacentral:rRNA from 1 species